UGCUGAGUCCGCGAUGGAGUACCGCAUCCUGAGGUGAGCCACAGGAGUCUGGAACACUUGAGACGGGCUGAGAGUUUUAAACCGGUUGUGGUCUGGUGCUGAACUUCGGAAGGACAUUUGAGUUUGAGAGGUUUUAUGGACUCAGGCUCACCACCCUAUCAGACAUCCCUGCUGGAGGUGAAACCGUCUUUACAAGGGAGCACAGUGCAUAGCCAUACCGACUGACUGAUGAAGAGACUAUCCCACUACAGUGCUGUGAGAGCAAACCAAACUGCGCCACUUGGCAACUCCUUGCUCAUCUUCAGAGAUCCUCAGGCGCUUCGCAGACACGCAAGGCUGCAUGAGGAACUGGGUAAACAAUUGUUCAAACAAUGCAUCUGCUGUCUCCUUU